CCAGAGCUUGCUCUCGGGUGACGAGUGGCGGACGGGUGAGUAAUGUCUGGGAAACUGCCUGAUGGAGGGGGAUAACUACUGGAAACGGUAGCUAAUACCGCAUAACGUCGCAAGACCAAAGAGGGGGACCUUCGGGCCUCUUGCCAUCAGAUGUGCCCAGAUGGGAUUAGCUAGUAGGUGGGGUAACGGCUCACCUAGGCGACGAUCCCUAGCUGGUCUGAGAGGAUGACCAGCCACACUGGAACUGAGACACGGUCCAGACUCCUACGGGAGGCAGCAGUGGGGAAUAUUGCACAAUGGGCGCAAGCCUGAUGCAGCCAUGCCGCGUGUAUGAAGAAGGCCUUCGGGUUGUAAAGUACUUUCAGCGGGGAGGAAGGUGUUGCGGUUAAUAACCGCAGCAAUUGACGUUACCCGCAGAAGAAGCACCGGCUAACUCCGUGCCAGCAGCCGCGGUAAUACGGAGGGUGCAAGCGUUAAUCGGAAUUACUGGGCGUAAAGCGCACGCAGGCGGUCUGUCAAGUCGGAUGUGAAAUCCCCGGGCUCAACCUGGGAACUGCAUUCGAAACUGGCAGGCUAGAGUCUUGUAGAGGGGGGUAGAAUUCCAGGUGUAGCGGUGAAAUGCGUAGAGAUCUGGAGGAAUACCGGUGGCGAAGGCGGCCCCCUGGACAAAGACUGACGCUCAGGUGCGAAAGCGUGGGGAGCAACAGGAUUAGAUACCCCUGGUAGUCCACGCCGUAACGAUGUCGACUUGGAGGUUGUGCCCUUGAGGCGUGCCUCC
rnacentral:rRNA from 1 species